rnacentral:lncRNA from 1 species
ACUACUACUUUUGUUAAAUUCUUCAAUAGCAUGGUUAGCUAGUUCCGUUAGCAUGUCAAUCUCUGUCUCGAAAUCCAGAUAUGGUACAUAUAUAGCUGCCUUAGCAUUACCGGGGUAUACGUCAAUGUCAAAACCCUGUCAAACAAGAGAAACAAAUGUCAUUGACUUCUAUCCAAGUUGUAAGAAAAAGAGAGGUCAUAAUUGAACUGAUCGAAUAUAUAAAGAGAGUUGAAAGAGAGCCUUGGAGCAACCGUCUCCGUGUGACCUAUAGAUCACAAGUUUGAGCCGUAGAAUCAACUAAUUGGCACCCUUUUAACAGACAAACAAACAAGUUAAUUAAAAUACACUAAACUAAAAUGCUAUUUUAGGAUUUGGUCAGUUAGUUUAAAGAGAAAAGGGGUCAAAGUCUAGGAAGAAGAAUAACAAAAAGAUCUAAGGCCAAAAGCACCAAAAUAA